AUUGAACGCUGGCGGCAGGCCUAACACAUGCAAGUCGAGCGGAUGACGGGAGCUUGCUCCUUGAUUCAGCGGCGGACGGGUGAGUAAUGCCUAGGAAUCUGCCUGGUAGUGGGGGACAACGUUUCGAAAGGAACGCUAAUACCGCAUACGUCCUACGGGAGAAAGCAGGGGACCUUCGGGCCUCGCGCUAUCAGAUGAGCCUAGGUCGGAUUAGCUAGUUGGUGGGGUAAUGGCUCACCAAGGCGACGAUCCGUAACUGGUCUGAGAGGAUGAUCAGUCACACUGGAACUGAGACACGGUCCAGACUCCUACGGGAGGCAGCAGUGGGGAAUAUUGGACAAUGGGCGAAAGCCUGAUCCAGCCAUGCCGCGUGUGUGAAGAAGGUCUUCGGAUUGUAAAGCACUUUAAGUUGGGAGGAAGGGCAGUAAGUUAAUACCUUGCUGUUUUGACGUUACCGACAGAAUAAGCACCGGCUAACUCUGUGCCAGCCGCCGCCGUAAAAC
rnacentral:rRNA from 1 species